AGCAGUUGUGAGCCAAUCAAAACAGAAAUGUUCUGACACAUUUGAGAGUAUCUUGUUUUACAGAGUGCUUUAAAGAGGCAUGAACAGCACACAAGCUUUCAAACAAACCAAAUUAUCCAGAAAGGAUUUUGGAACUGGUUCCUAUGAGGGAAGAGCGCUGAGUGUCUCUGAGGACCUGCCUCAUGGCUUAGAGUCUCGGGGAAAUUCCCUGGCUGGAUUUUUCCUGUCGAGUCACUCAGGUCGAUCUCGGCUGUGCCUGCGAUGACCAGUUCUAGCUCUCUUGCAUCGAAAACAGACACCAGCCUGGCAUCC